rnacentral:rRNA from 1 species
AUUGAACGCUGGCGGAAUGCUUUACACAUGCAAGUCGAGCGAGAACCAGGGCUUCGGCCCUGGGGACAGCGGCGAACGGGUGAGUAACACGUGGGUAAUCCACCCUCGGCACCGGAAUAGCCCGGGGAAACCCGGAUUAAUGCCGGAUGGCCCGCCGGCCCCGAGGGGCUGGCGGAAAAGGUAGCUUCGGCCUCCGGCCGGGGACGAGCCCGCGACGGAUUAGCUUGUUGGUGGGGUAACGGCCUACCAAGGCUGCGAUCCGUAGCUGGUCUGAGAGGACGAUCAGCCACACUGGGACUGAGACACGGCCCAGACUCCUACGGGAGGCAGCAGUGGGGAAUCUUGCGCAAUGGGCGAAAGCCUGACGCAGCGACGCCGCGUAGGGGAAGAAGGCCUUCGGGUUGUAAACCUCUUUCAGGAGGGACGAAGCCACUCGGGUUAAUAGCCCAGAGGGUGACGGUACCUCUAGAAGAAGCCCCGGCUAACUACGUGCCAGCCGCCGCUGUAAUAC